UGCUGAGGAAAUGUUUCUCCACUAAGGUGAACUUCGGGCACAACUCAUACCGGUCUACCGACAGCUACAAACUAAUCAAGGGGGGAAAAUGCCAGACAUCAGUCCAGAUUGAAGUGCACCAAUGAAUUCACAACUUUCUGGCAGAGAACAUAUUCAAUAUUGUGAACAAGGAACUCUAAAAAAUGAAUACAGCAGCAGCAGGGGACCAAUUUUUAUUAAAACAAAUCAACUUUCUUCUUGUGCGUGUC
rnacentral:lncRNA from 1 species